CUUUAAUAGUCUUCAGAUUGAAGUUUAUAGAGUUCAUUGUUUUUAAUAACACAGCGCAACUAAUAUCUAUUUGAUGAGAGACUUUUCAAAUAUUCAUUCUAUACACAUUGUUUUGCCCUUUUGAUGUGUUUAUUUCAUAACACACAGCCCCCAAUCAGCCGCCCUUGGUUAUAAAGCCAUACUCACCAAUAAGUAGCUUUCUGAUCAUGUGAUCGCACUCUCUAGUGUUUCUAAAGCCCUCCCAGGUGGCUUAAUGUAUUUUAUAACUCGUCCAUUGUCCUUCAACCAUGCCGGCUAUUUUAGAGGCAAGGAGUGAGAUAGAAUCAUUGGGAUUAACAUAUUGCAAAGUUCCUCCUUCGCUCCUAGAUUGUAUUGACUAAUUAGAAGGCAUUGGUUUAUCAUUGGCUAGUGAAUUAAUCCAAUUAAUCUGAUUGUAUCUAAAACCCUAAAUGCUUUGAGGGUCUCAAUCUCAGACAAUAUAAUUUAUAAGCCAGAUUUACUUGAAUAAUGAUCUCUUUAAAUUAAGGCAACUUUGCUUUUUUUUUUUUAAUCUUGUACCUUGAAGGGAGUCUAUACCCUUUCUUAGGGUUCCUAUAUCUUAUCUAUUAUUUGUUGCUUUCCUCUAUACAGGCACUGAUCUGUCCCAUUUCAUAAAUAUGUAUUUCUUCCUAGUUCUAAAGGACUUUUUUUCAUUUUUUUUUUAUGUGAUCUGCAUCCUGGAAAUAAAGGGAUUUAAGUUUAGGAGAUAGAGGAUAGAUUUGAAGAAAGUUGAAGAUAGAUUUAAUAUUAUGAUUGAUGACUUACAAUCUAAAAUUUUCAAGAUCAUUUUUACUAUCAAAAGUUAAGUUUCAUUUUAUCUACACCUAUUGUGUUCUUAAGUAGAUUUCCCCAGAGGUUGCCCCUCAAAUUUGUGGUGUUAGAGUUAUCUAGUCCUUUCAUAACUCCAAUUCACAGAUUUAAAACUAGCAACUAUAAUCUCCCCUACGCUAGACACCAAAUACCACCCACUCCAACCCGCAACACAAUGCAAAUCCCCUAUCCUCGCCCCUCACUCAACUACUCCUCUACCCUUCCUUCUAACAAUACUCAUACUUCUACUCUCAUAACCUGUAAAGACCCAUUCACCUCCACAAUGCAUAUUCUUACCACCACUACACCUUUCUAUCAGGCUUUCGGGCAAGACACAUAGAAUAUAAGGACUAAAGAUCUAAGGCCAAACUAAGAACCACCACCACAGCACGAUCGGACAUGUCCCCAGAGAGGACAAGGCAUUGACAACCAAAUCCCCCAACCCAAGAGCGACUCAACUGCGGUCUAGACUCAUGAACCAACGUGACCUUAGACGGACACUGACAACUAGGGACCACAUACUCAUGACUGAAAAAAUAAGGAACCCUCAAAGGGGGAAACCCACCCACAGAUCGCAAAACAUUCCUGCCAACUUGUCUGAGGAAAUGAGCCUACCAUAAAUACGAGCCAGACACGGGGCACACAACACACGAACCCCCUAACACUAUCUUGGUGAAGUUAUGAUCCUCUCACAGUCCUAAGCCAGUUCAUGAGCGUGCCCGCAUGCAGAGCCUGUCCAAUACUGUACUGUUACAAACCUUCUGGCUUCUCUCUCUGUUUCUUAUAAACAUAUGCACUGACCUUUAAUUCAUAACAAAAAUUAAAAAAAAGAAUUUUGAAAAACUAGCAACUAUAAUACUAUAAGGGAAGUUUAAAACUAGGCUUAAGAAAUGGCCCCAUGGGCACGAAGAAAUUUUUGCAAAUAGUGAUUUUUUUUUUCAUUAAUUGCAUCAGGAUUCAUGGAUUUUCAUUUGGUGUUUUUUAGGUUAAAGAAAAGAUAAAUAAGAAGAAACAGGUAUGAGUAUAACAGGUAUUAGUAUAUGGUCCCCACACCCUAUUAUUAGGAUCGGGGUGGCGACACUAGGGUCCACUAUUUUUAAUGGGGGGUGACUACAGGAUUGGGUACCUUGUGGGGGAGGGAUUGUGGAUAUGCCACUAAUAGGAAGAGGUAAAUAAUAAUAUGUCCAAUCCCCCAUUAUUAAAGUUCAUUACAGCCACCUCCC